CCUCAUGAGACAAGCAGAGGUCCUUGACCAGCUUCGGCCACUGCCCCUGACCCUUGCCGGGGAUGGCAGGUGUGACUCACCCGGCCACACUGCAUUGUAUGGCACCUACACGCUUCUGGAGACUGCAGCCAACCGUAUCGUGCACUUCGAGUUGGUUAAGUCUACUGAGGUCAGCAGCAGCAAUGCAAUGGAAGCCUAUGAUCUACAGAAAUGCCUCGCCUUUCUCGAGGUACAUGACAUGACUGUGGACACCUUGGUUACUGACCGCCAUUCUGGCAUCAAAGCCAUGCUAAGGCGACUGUGCCCACACAUAAAGCAUAGAUUUGAUGUGUGGCAUGUUGUCAAAGGAGUCAAGAAAAAGCUCUUGGCUCUCAGUCGCUCAACGAAACACCAAGUUGUGCAGCUCUGGAUUGAUAGCUUGACGAGACAUGCAUAUUAGUGUCCGUGUACAAGCGGGGAUGAUGGGGACCUAUGUCUUGCAAAGUGGGUGUCAGCAGUUAACCACAUUGUUGACAUCCAUGAGCACGACAACCCGUUGUACCCGAUUUGCUACCACGGCGCACUUUCUGAACCACGUCAAUGGCUCAGAGAAGACACAGAGACGUACAGGCAAGUCCAGGACAUCCUGUUGUCACCUGCACUCCUGAAGGAUAUCCCAUUCCUGUCCUCACAAGAGCAGACAUAUGGAUUGAAGGCCUUUCACAGUGUCCUCAUCCACUUCCUGCCGAAGUCCUACGCUUUUUCUGACGAGGGGAUGGUGGCUAGGACACAGUUGGCGAUCAUCCACUUCAACGAGAAUGCAGACCGUGUCCAGUUGGAGAGGGAAGGCGCGAAGCAGUACCGUCUCAAGGCAUUGAAGGUUAAGAAGACGUGGGUGGCUGUACCUCUGAAGGAGAGUGCUAGCUAUGGUUAUGCAUCAGCCUUGAUUGCUGAGGUGCUGACACGCAUUCAGGAGCACAGAAGGGAGUCUGGAGCUGUGGCAACUCUGCCAACGCGGUCAUCAACAUAUGGUGAGAGGCCAAGCCUUACAGAAGCAGUCGUGAAGCAUCAGGCAAGGUUCCAGAAAUGAGGCUCCCACCUGCAUCACACACUGAACGUUGAAACUAAGCUAAAAAAAGGCC